GGCAGGAAGCUGUGCGGUGGAUAUUGUCCGAACUGGGUCAGGCCGGGAACGGAGCAGCCCUAAGGGUUUUAUAUCCAGGUGCUACGGAUUUUCUGUCUCCG
rnacentral:SRP_RNA from 1 species